rnacentral:miRNA from 1 species
UGUACCUGCAUGUAUGUGUGUGCAUGCAUGGGUGCACACACACACACACACAUACACACACAUAUAUCACACAAUAC